GAUGAACGCUGGCGGCGUGCCUAAUACAUGCAGGUCGAGCGAACGGACGAGAAGCUUGCUUCUCUGAUGUUAGCGGCGGACAGGUGAGUAACACGUGGAUAACCUACCUAUAAGACUGGGAUAACUUCGGGAAACCGUAGCUAAUACCGGAUAAUAUUUUGAACCGCAUGGUUCAAAAGUGAAAGACGGUCUUGCUGUCACUUAUAGAUGGAUCCGCGCUGCAUUAGCUAGUUGGUAAGGUAACGGCUUACCAAGGCAACGAUGCAUAGCCGACCUGAGAGGGUGAUCGGCCACACUGGAACUGAGACACGGUCCAGACUCCUACGGGAGGCAGCAGUAGGGAAUCUUCCGCAAUGGGCGAAAGCCUGACGGAGCAACGCCGCGUGAGUGAUGAAGGUCUUCGGAUCGUAAAACUCUGUUAUUAGGGAAGAACAUAUGUGUAAGUAACUGUGCACAUCUUGACGGUACCUAAUCAGAAAGCCACGGCUAACUACGUG
rnacentral:rRNA from 1 species